UACAGAGGGUGCAAGCGUUGCUCGGAAUUAUUGGGCGUAAAGGGCGCGUAGGCGGUGCGGUAAGUCUGCGGUGAAAUCUCCCGGCUCAACUGGGAGGCUGCCGUGGAAACUGCCGUGCUUGAGUGUGGCAGAGGGGGGUGGAAUUCCGCGUGUAGCAGUGAAAUGCGUAGAGAUGCGGAGGAACACCGAUGGCGAAGGCAGCCCCCUGGGCUAGCACUGACGCUCAGGCACGAAAGCGUGGGGAGCAAACAGG
rnacentral:rRNA from 1 species